GAUGAAGAACGUAGCGAAAUGCGAUAAGUAAUGUGAAUUGCAGAAUUCAGUGAAUCAUCGAAUCUUUGAACGCACCUUGCGCCUUUUGGUAUUCCGAAAGGCACACCUGUUUGAGCGUCAUGAAUACCUCAAUCUCCAUCUUUUCUUCGGAUUGAUGGGUGACUUGGAUGUUGAGCCCUGCUGGUAUGUUAUAUCAGCUGGCUUUAAACUUAUUAGCCGGCUCUGUACUGGAUCGGUUUGACUCGACGUGAUAAUAUUAUCGUUGAGGAUGCAUGUCUCAUGCAGCCGGAAAGUAUCAAAGCAGCUUCUAGCUUGCCUUUAGUGCACUUUUACAUUUUAGUCCUCAGAUCAGGUGGGACUACCCGCUGAACUUAAGCAUAUCAAUAAGCGGAGGA
rnacentral:misc_RNA from 1 species